rnacentral:lncRNA from 1 species
UUGAGAAGUAUUCACUCAAACUUUUCUCUCAAGUGUUCUUGCGUUUGUUCAUCUUUCAAGGCUCGUUCUUACUUCGUUCUUCUGCUGUUCUUCGUGAAAAUCUUAAGGGAAUUCUAUUGAAUCCUUUAUUGUUGCGAGUUAAACUAACUUGGGCGUUUUUGCUGUUGAAUCCUUUUUUUUUUCAAGUUAGGCUGACUUAGGCGUUUUAAGCAGAAAAACUGCCUAAGGCCGCACGGAUCGCGUGGGAAAACUCUAAGUCCGUGACACUU